GCGGCGUGCUUAACACAUGCAAGUCGAACGGUGAAGCCAAGCUUGCUUGGUGGAUCAGUGGCGAACGGGUGAGUAACACGUGAGCAACCUGCCCUGGACUCUGGGAUAAGCGCUGGAAACGGCGUCUAAUACUGGAUAUGUGACGUGAUCGCAUGGUCGUGUUUGGAAAGAUUUUUCGGUCUGGGAUGGGCUCGCGGCCUAUCAGCUUGUUGGUGAGGUAAUGGCUCACCAAGGCGUCGACGGGUAGCCGGCCUGAGAGGGUGACCGGCCACACUGGGACUGAGACACGGCCCAGACUCCUACGGGAGGCAGCAGUGGGGAAUAUUGCACAAUGGGCGGAAGCCUGAUGCAGCAACGCCGCGUGAGGGAUGACGGCCUUCGGGUUGUAAACCUCUUUUAGCAGGGAAGAAGCGAAAGUGACGGUACCUGCAGAAAAAGCGCCGGCUAACUACGUGCCAGCAGCCGCGGUAAUACGUAGGGCGCAAGCGUUAUCCGGAAUUAUUGGGCGUAAAGAGCUCGUAGGCGGUUUGUCGCGUCUGCUGUGAAAUCCCGAGGCUCAACCUCGGGCCUGCAGUGGGUACGGGCAGACUAGAGUGCGGUAGGGGAGAUUGGAAUUCCUGGUGUAGCGGUGGAAUGCGCAGAUAUCAGGAGGAACACCGAUGGCGAAGGCAGAUCUCUGGGCCGUAACUGACGCUGAGGAGCGAAAGGGUGGGGAGCAAACAGGCUUAGAUACCCUGGUAGUCCACCCCGUAAACGUUGGGAACUAGUUGUGGGGACCAUUCCACGGUUUCCGUGACGCAGCUAACGCAUUAAGUUCCCCGCCUGGGGAGUACGGCCGC
rnacentral:rRNA from 1 species